CGCCGCCGCCCUCCUUUCUCGCUCGCUUCGCCUCUUCUCUCCGCGUCCAGACGAUCAAGCGUCACCGGCAGCAGUUUCAGGAAGUAAUCGCAUCAAGAAGACUGCUAUGGAACUUAUGUGGAUUUCAGAAGAUUAUGAUUGGUACCUCAAGGCCAUUCAUGCAAGAUCAUGUGAACAGGAAAGAUGCUACAAGAUGUACCUAACAGUCUCCUGCAUUUGUACAUCAGAAGAAGCUUAUCCACCAUUAUUCAUUUUCCAACAAAAACCAUCAUAAACCUCUAAGAAGAAAUCAACAUUCCCUAAAGCACAUUUGAAAACCAUAGGGGCCUCUGAGGAUUGCAAAAAUGAGUCAUGGGACCACAAAUAGCCCACUGAUGUGUUUUAGGGGGAAAGGAUCUGACUAUAGACUUUAUUGUUGGAAUAUAUCUUCUAGUAUGUUUUAUGUUUUAUUGAUUUAAUUAUAAUUUCUUUGAUUGUUGUGAGCUGCCCAGUCACUGAGAGUUGGGUGGCAUACAGUUUUAAUAAAUUAUUGUUAUUAUCACCAUCAUUAUAUUAUUGCUAGUAUUAGUAACUAUUAACUGCAAAACACCUAAAAUAUGUCAAAUUGUCAGAUUAACAGCAAUUUUUUUUUUAAUGAAAACAGCAAAAGCACCUCACCGAAGUUAAUGGGAUUUACUGAAAGGAAACUGUGAAUUAUACUGUGGUCCAAAACUACAGAAGUAAGCAGCAAGCAGUAGUCAUCUUACAAUAUUGUGGCCCUUUGACUUUUGUGGCCAUUUUGAUAGUUUUGAAAUGGUAUAAACAAAAAAAGCUGUUUCGUGAUUAAGCUAGUGCAGAAAUGUGUUUCACAUACACAAAAUUACAUCUUUCUGAGAAAAAAUAUCAAAAUGUUUCAUAUUCUUUACUUAUUCCUUAUCCUCUUUCAUCCCAACUUCUGGUUAGUUCUCUUAUUUUCUUCAGAUGACAACCCUGUGAGGAAGGUUAGGCUGAGAGAGGUUAGGUUGAAUAAGCAAGCACCUGAAGCCAGAUGCCAUAAGGCAUUUACAGCAAAGGGCUACAACACUUUGUGUCCCAUCACAUCAAAGUGGGAAGGUGUUCAUUUCUUUUCCAUUACAGAUAGUCCACUUUUACUGACCGCAACUGGGACUGGUAACUCCAUUGCUAAGUGGCAUGGUCAUUAAAUGCGAUGCCAUGUGACCAUGACCAUGACUUGCAACUUCCUGCUGACUUCCCCAUUGAC